AUCACGUAGCAUGCCAGACGGACCCACCAAAGAUGCGCACACAUGGAACGCAGCUUUCUAUGAAAACACUGCGACCUCACUACAAAAGUACAGGCACACAGAAAACUGUGCUGCACUGAUGUCGGUGUUGGGACCUCAGCUGUAAGAGACCUUGCUUGGAGGAGGGAGAGGACAAGAUGUGACAAUGGAAUCUUCCAACCCUGUUCAUAAGACACCCACAUAUAUUGUCUAUGAAAACUGCCUCCUGGAGCUGUUUGAGGUGUGUCCUGUGUGUCGGCUGGGGACAGAUGUAAUAUAUAAGAAGGGC